GUCGUCGGGUCAAACCGGCGACUGCGUUGGCGUUGCGGGCUCGGUCCGUCGGUGCCCCACAAAGGGCUACUGGCGUGUCAACCGGCCCGCCCGUCCCCUCCUUCUGGAUUCCCGUUCCUGCUAUUGAGUUAGUGGGGACGUCACAGGGGGCUCAUCGUCGUGCGGCGUCAAAACCGUGCGGCGGUGGGUCCCUGGGGCCCAGAUCGUUUACCGUGAAAAAAUUAGAGUGUUCAAAGCAGGCAGAUCCAAUUUUCUGCCACCGAAUACAUUAGCAUGGGAUAAUGGAAUAGGACCCUGUCCUCCUAUUUUCAGUUGGUUUUGGCAGCGCGAGGACUAGGGUAAUGAUUAAUAGGGAUAGUUGGGGGCAUUAAUAUUUAAUUGUCAGAGGUGAAAUUCUUGGAUUUAUGAAAGAUUAACUUCUGCGAAAGCAUCUGCCAAGGAUGUUUUCAUUAAUCAAGAACGAAAGUUAGGGGAUCGAAGACGAUCAGAUACCGUCGUAGUCUUAACCAUAAACGAUGCCGACCAGCGAUUAGGAGACG
rnacentral:rRNA from 1 species